AUAUAUCACGAUUUUCUAUCAUGAUUUGCAUUGAUAUAAGUAAGUAUAACACAUAUAUUUUACUCUUAACUUAGCCAUACAUUGCGGAUUUACUUAGUAGAUAGAGUAAUGUUUUUUUUUAAACAACAAAUUUUAUUCAUAAGCUAACCCAACACAAGAAGUGAAGAGGCUAGAGGAAACACACAAGACAACAGAUACAUAAAGACAACUAAACCACCCAAACAAUCCUUAAUACAAUAGAAUAACAUCAGAAAAACCAGCCACCUAAACUUCCUAGUACCAUGAAACAAUGUCAGGUCGCGUUGAUUUUUAGGCUGGAGGGCAAUGUUUGUUUCGGAAGUUCUCGACUUUCUUCAACAAAGGGUAGUGCUUUUUGCAGAAAUCGGGUAUAUGGGGUAUAUGUACUGGUUUAUCUUUUGGGAUUAAAUUUUUGAUUUUUGGGAUUAAUGCUUCAACUGCGGGACCAAAGCUAACAGCAUCAGCAAAAUGUUGUUGAGGAGCAAGCAUAAAAGCAGCAAGGAAUAACACUAAUAAGGAUAAGAAAAAUGAAUUAGCCAUUUUAAGAAGUGAUAUAAUUAUUAGUGUUGGUGCAUAAUACAUAUGGAGUAUACUGGUUUUAUACUAGUUAGAGACUCAAUGUGAGUUUAUGGUCGAUCUAAGUCAUUUACUAAAUGUCAAAAUUGUGUAUGAAUUGAAUUAUUCAACAAUGUUACAAGUUCCAUGUAGUUGCUACUAGUUUAUGAAUUGAAUUAUUCAUUCGAUUCUCCGCGCGACUCAGGUGCAUGCCGAAACCGUUUUAAUUAUAUGAGCAAAUUAAUAAAUAAAUGGGUUGGUGCUUAUGAUGGUGCUAAGCGUUUGCAAGGAAGCGGUUGGUCGAAAGAUGAUGUUUUGGAAAAAGCCCAUGAAUUAUAUGUGAAACACCCCGUUUUCCCAACUUGAAUUUUUUUGCAUAAAUCAGAGUAAAACAACUAAACAGGAUGCUGCACUUCUUUCAAAUCUGAAUAUAGUAAAAUUACUAAUUAUCUCAAUCAUCAAAUUAAAUCUUAUUGCAGCGGAAAUUAGUUCAACGUUUAAAACAACCUUGGCACAAAGGCCUCAAUGUAAAAUCUCAUAAAAUUAUUCCAACAACAUGUUCAUAAAACUUCAUAAAAUAAUACGUAAGGAACGUAAAGCAACAACAAAAUUCUCAUCCCGUUACGUAUCAGAGCACCUAAGACACACGUGAGAGAAUCCACUCACGACCGCAACUAUUCUUGGUUACCUGCAAGUUACUCAAUUGUGAGGGCAACAUUUCCAAGCAGAAGGGGUGAGAUUUCACAUUCAAUAAUAAUAAGCAUAUAAUUCAUCAAAUUCAUUUAACAACUUAAACUUCAUCAAUUAGUAACACUAACUCUUCGCAUAAAUACUUCAUUAAUUAAUAACAUUAACUCUUCCUAUAAGACUUCAUUAAUAACUCAAUCAACUUCUAAUCAUCAUUAACUUCAUAUUCAUCACAUUAUAUACAACGUCAUACAGCACGUAAUAAUCAAAUCAUAAACAUCAUCAUAUAAAAACCUAAUCAUCACAUCAUAAACAUCAUCUUAUAACAUCAUAUAGUUCACAUCAUAAACAUCAUCAUAUAACAACAUAAACAUCACAACAUAAACAUGAAAUAAGGUUAUAAGGUUGCACUCAAAAAGUUUUAGUGAUAGUCAACUAUGAGAAUAGGUCUAAUUACUGUUGAGAUACAUUCAUGUAAUCUUAUAGGAAACAUGAAAUACCAAAGAACAUCUUGUCCUUAGAAAUGAAUAGAGAAAUAGAUAUGGAAUGUUUAGGAUUUAACUUUAUGAUGAAAACCGCAAUCUCAUGACGCAUUUUUAUAUCUAAAUUUUAAUCAAAAAAAAUAAUUGCACUUAAUCAAUUUAUUUUUUUCAGCUAAUCAAAACUAAAAAUUAGAUUAGUAUUUACUUAAAGUCCAUGUGAAUCGAUAUUUUACUAGAACCGUACACUUGCGUAAACCUAUCAAAGACCCUAUUGAUGUAUAUGGAAUCGUAGUUACCUAUCAAAGCUACAAAAAAAAUUAGAUCGGAAUUGGGGUCUUUCUGACCAUUCUUGAAGUCGAAGGGGGUUCGUUUACUGGAUGUAGCAUCGAAGGCUUGAGUGAAGAGUUCGAAGGGGUGCACGGGUAUUCAAGGAUCUGAAGAUUCAAGAAGCACCAAAUUUAAGGGUUACUUGGAGUUUGGGGGAGUGUUUUACAUAGGAGUUGAAGAAUUAGGUUUUAAUUUCAAGGAACUUUUGUAAACACAUUUGUAUUCAACUAUUAUAAAAAUAUCGGUGUUAUCUCUCUUUCCCUAUCCUCUUUACUUUUAGCUAUUGCAUGUGAUUAAUUGAAUAAUUUUUAGAAUAAUUGCUAGUGUUGAUCUAAGUUAUUUUUCAUUGAAAAUCAAUCUAAUUCAUUGAAUUAGGUUUCAUAUAAUUUGCUUAGAUCAAUUGAUUGAAAAAUCUAUUCAAUUCUUCAAUUACACAUGUAUUGUGUUUUUGAUUUGAUAACUUAGUAAUUUUGUUCAUGUAGGUUUGGUUUGAAAUUGUCUAUUGUUUUGUACAUUGUUCAAGGAAUAUUAAAGUUUGAUUGUAUAAUAAGAUUUGUAUCGUGAAUCUCUCAAUUCUAAGAUUAAGUCUCAUUGCACAUAUAUUUGACCUUUUGAUUCCUUGAUUGUCAUUGUUCGACCACGAAUCCAAUAGUCAAUUUUGUUGAGAGAGAGAGAGAGAGAGAGAGAUUGGAUGGACGGGUGAUAUUAGUGCAGAACACAGCAAAAGAGAAUCGAAAAAAGAGGAUCUUGAUCCUUUUCUAAAGGAGAAUCAACCAUCUAUAUAAUGACAAUUUUAAACCCAUCAAGUACAAAAAUAACGAGCAAGGUGAAAAUAUAAACGUAACAUUGAACUAUUUUAUUAAAUGAUAAUAAACUUCAAAGGGUAAAAUUGGUUUUUAGAUAAACAUAUAAGGGGUUACUAAAAAGGGUUACAAGUUUUUUUUUUUUUUUGAAAGAAGGGAUACAAAUUAUAAGCUUGCGAAGAAAAGACGGUUAUCAAACACAGCCUAUGCAGCUCAUGAAGCUGCCAUAAAAAUUUUAAUAGUGGGGGAUGUUUAAUGAAGAUUAGUAGUAGUGUUACGUUAUUCAUGGAGCUAUAGUUAUAAAUAAUUUUAAAGUGGGUAAUGUUUAUUGAAGAUAGGGAGAUCGAAGCGGAAAUGCUGAAAAAUGAUGAUGGAAAAAUAUAAAUCGAUAUUAUCUUUUAUUUUAGUCAGAAUUUAAAUUUGGUAUUUUUCAGUAUCCAUGUCGGCGAUUUUGACUAAUUUUGAUUAAGUAAACGUCUUAGUUGACUUCAAUGACUAAAGUAACUAAGAACAAAGAGUGAAUGAUUUAAUUCGGGUUUUAUCUAAGUCAUUGACCAAAAUUACAUCUUGUUACACUUUUAAGGAGAAAAAUGGUUGUUUUCCCAAUAAUGUUUUCCAAUAUUAAAUUAAUGUUGUUUUCUGCCUUAGGGAUGUUACCAAUUUGUUAUGUUGGAGUUACCUUUAGUGCUAAGAAACCUUUAGACCAAUAAAAAUAUUUUGAGUCCCUUUUAAAGUGGUAAAUACACUAAUAUAAAGUCAUUGUCAAUUGAUGUUAGGACUAUUUAUUAAGAAUGCAAUAUUUACUUGUUGUUCUUUGGUAGACACUUAGAGUUCAUUUUUGUGGACUGUAUGAACUUGGUUAUAUCAUAGUUAACGUCGUAUUAGACAAACGGAAAUGAAAGACUCAUCUCUCACUCUACUUAGGACUAGCCAAUUGUCAAACUUGGUUACAAUUUAUUUUGUUUGGAAAACUUAAUUUGAAUUUUCUACAUGUCAUGAAAAAUUCAAAUUUCUGUUUUCUGAUUAGAAGAUCAAUAAACGGUUCAAUAUCAUCACAAUCUCCAAAUCAUAACUUCAUUCAUUUGCAAAUCUAGAGCACAUAUAUCACGAUUUUCUAUCAUGAUUUGCAUUGAUAUAAGUAAGUAUAACACAUAUAUUUUACUCUUAACUUAGCCAUACAUUGCGGAUUUACUUAGUAGAUAGAGUAAUGUUUUUUUUUAAACAACAAAUUUUAUUCAUAAGCUAACCCAACACAAGAAGUGAAGAGGCUAGAGGAAACACACAAGACAACAGAUACAUAAAGACAACUAAACCACCCAAACAAUCCUUAAUACAAUAGAAUAACAUCAGAAAAACCAGCCACCUAAACUUCCUAGUACCAUGAAACAAUGUCAGGUCGCGUUGAUUUUUAGGCUGGAGGGCAAUGUUUGUUUCGGAAGUUCUCGACUUUCUUCAACAAAGGGUAGUGCUUUUUGCAGAAAUCGGGUAUAUGGGGUAUAUGUACUGGUUUAUCUUUUGGGAUUAAAUUUUUGAUUUUUGGGAUUAAUGCUUCAACUGCGGGACCAAAGCUAACAGCAUCAGCAAAAUGUUGUUGAGGAGCAAGCAUAAAAGCAGCAAGGAAUAACACUAAUAAGGAUAAGAAAAAUGAAUUAGCCAUUUUAAGAAGUGAUAUAAUUAUUAGUGUUGGUGCAUAAUACAUAUGGAGUAUACUGGUUUUAUACUAGUUAGAGACUCAAUGUGAGUUUAUGGUCAAUCUAAGUCAUGUACUAAAUGUCAAAAUUGUGUAUGAAUUGAAUUAUUCAACAAUGUUACAUGUUCCUUCCAUGUAUUUGCUACUAGUUGAUGAUCAGUCCCUACCUAUCCUUUAAUUUUCCACACAACAAGACCAUUCAGUAAUAUUGGCUCUAUCUCUCCACUUGUUUGCCCACCAUGGUUUAGCUGAAAAAACAGUGCAACUUGUUUCAAUAACAUUAAUAUAUAUAGAUAUUACUAUUUAUAUAUGCAUUGAACCCUGUAUGAUUUAUUUAUUUAUAAAAAUUCCAAAUAGGUUACUUUAUUUGUCAUUUAUGCUUGAAUAUGAAAAUACAAAACAGUGUUUUUUCUCAUUAAAAUUUUUACUAUAAAGAUUUUUAAUAACUUAGUGUUUACCAAUUGCACUUACUAAUUCUUAAUUAUAGAAUGAUGAUUAAAAAUUGUAUGUUUCAUAACUGUUUUUCAUCACAAGUUUAUAGUUCACUUCUCAGACGUUAUUCCAAAUAACGUUUGAGAUUAUAGGUUAUCAUUUUAAUUUCAUGUUUACCUUUAUUAUUUUGUUUAAGAUUUAUUUUUAUCCUUUUUAAUAUAUACUAUUUAUAAAGAAAAUAUAGGGAUUUUGGGCUGACUUUUUUGUUAUUCCAAUUAUACCUUUAAAUAAAAAAAAAUCAAAUAAUGUGAUAUGGUUGGUGUUAAUAAAAAGAUAAGAAUUUUUGUUAUAUUAUUGUUGUCAUUGAGAAUCAUAAAUAUUGUUUGUUGAGUUUGUUACAUUUGAAAGUCACAUAUCAUACUUUUAAUUUUUGUCUAUAUCAAAAAAUUUAUAUAAAAUAUCGUUUGUAAUUUACACGCAGAAUUUCAAUAAAUUAUCGUAAAUAAUUUAUACACAUUAACGUAAUAAAAAGAGCAGAAAGAUGAACAUGUGAAUGCUCGUCUUUUCGCUAGUUUAUUAUAAAGAAUAUGCUAAAUGUUUGGUUCUUUUGUCAUACUACACAAAUUAUUUGGUAGCUUUAUAUAUAUGUUACUAAUGUUAAUUUCACUCUCACUUUAAUUAUGUUACUCCAGAGUCCCUCUGAAAUAAUGUUUCUCUUUUUGCCCUAAAACUUCUCUCUUGCCAUCCAAAAUUUAAAACUCCCAUAUUAUAUGAUUCAUGAAGAUUUUUUGCUUCAAAACAUUGAUCAGGUCUUUUCAAACACGGACAACAAGGUAGGGUAUCAUUCCUUCCCUUUAGUGUUAUUUGAAUCUUUUUUUUUUUUCUUCUGUAAACUAAAACCUUAUAGAUUAUAUAAUAAUCUGAAUCAAGUUGUUCCUGGUUUGGAUUAUAUAAUUUGACAUGCUUCUAUAUAUAUGUUGUUUUGUUAUUUUGUGGAUAUUUUUUUAUUUUUUUUAGACAAAAGAGGAAUUAAAUUAAAAUAGAAAAGGAGGUAUAAGAUUGGGGGCAAUGACCUGACCAGUAAACCACAAAAUCAAAAUACAACAAUUUCAGUACAAAGUGGUAUACAACGAACACAACCCUAAACAAUCACUACUACGGACAAUUCAGCGAACCCACGUAUGAGCGCCAAACCGAAUUGCAAAAAAAACGUAGAGUGAGUAUUCAGAACUUCUAAAUAGGCGUAUGGAUCGACUGCCAACACAAAAACGAUCCAAGAUCAAGCAGCUCCCAUCAAAUAUCAGCAAGCAAUAAACGCCCUUUCGGGCCAACCAUUCCAGUCGUAGUUCAGUUCGAGGGAUGAACAAACGACAUAAAUGUAAAGCAGUCCACUGACAACGCAUAAAGCAACCGUAGCAGAUAAAGUCCUGCAGGUACGACAUCAACAACUAUCGUCAACCAGAGCGUCUACGCACUUAGCCCUUUCGUGCAUAUCAGGCGAAACAAGUCUUGUUGAAUCCAGAUCGAGGGAUGGUAUCCAACCAAACAUCGCACAAAUGAACAGAACCAUAACCAAAUCUUAAAUCCAGACAAACCAAAUUCAAAAUUUCAACUAAACCGGAUAGCCAGAAUAAGACCACCACCAAUCUUCAUCUUCCCGAAACAACAUAAAACACCAUUCGAUUCUUCAUGGUCUUCUUCUUUCAAACUAGUGCGUCUUCCUGGAACCGCCAUUGAUGUGAAAUUCGACUAUCUUUGCCGCCGCUUCAACUUCAAACUACUAUGCCAUUGACGCUUUUAAUUUAGUGGGAGAAAAAAGAAAAAGAUCGAAAUGAAAGUAGAAGAAGAAGGUUUGGUGUGUGUUUUUGAAGAAGAAGACGAAGAAAAAAAAAAGUUUGUGUUGUUACGUGUGAGAGGGUGUGGUGGUAAGCUUGUAUAUGAGAGAGAAAUAUAUGUCUAGAGUUUUGAUGUCUAAAGAAGACCACAAUUAAUGUGACAUUGGAAAAUGAAAGGGUGGAUGCAUGGGUACCAAAAUCUCAUAAUUAUUUGUUGGAAGAUGCAUAAGGAAGAGAGAGUUAUCCCCAAUAAAUGAGAGUGGGGAAUAGUUGAAAGAAGUGGCUUUUACAAAGUAGAAUGCUGAUUAGAAUUAACAAUUAAGUGUAGAUGAUCAACGGUUGAUGUUGAAUGGCGCCUAAAUGAUGAUCAGCAUCCAAUGGCUUGCAAAAUUGGAGAGAAAAAUGAGGGGGGAAAAUUAGGGUUAAGGAUAGCUUCGGGGGAUAAGCUUUAGUAAGUAAGAUUGUCUUAUAUACUUACAUUAUUUUAGGUCUAAAUUUCAGAAACCAUUAUUUGACAAUUUUUUUGACAAUUUUAUCUCACAUACUCACAUUAUAUUUUUACUUCUCUUUUUGUUGUUUUGGUUUUUAUUUUCAUACCUAAUUUUCCUUGUAAAUCUAUAGUUGUCUCAUAAAUUAUCGUUAAAAUUGUUGUUCAAAUAACACAACUCUUAUUUCUAAUACUCAAAAUUUGUUCAAAUUAAGUUUUUAAAGAACUUCUAAUAAAGUCAGAUUAAAGUUUUUUUGAACUUUUUAAAUACUUAAAUUGAAUUUUCUCCAAUAUACAUAUUAGAGAAAGAAAAAAAAUAAUGAUAGGAGGGAGAUGCAAAACUUAUGUUUUCUUUCUCUAGAAACAUAUUUUGAGUUUUCAAUAUCAUCAAAAUCUCAAAAUCAUAAACUUUAUUUAUUUGCAAAUCUAGAGCACAUAUAGCGCGAUUUUCUCUCAUAAUUUACAUUGAUAUAACACAUAUUAUGUUCUUACCUUGCCCAAACAUUCGGGAUUUAAUUGAUGAUGUAAAAGACGUUUUUAAAUGUAGAAUAAGAAAGAUGGAAAACCUCCAAGCCAAAUUAUACACAAGAUAUACAAAUUAUACACAAAAAUUUCAAAUUUCAAUUUUCUCGAGAGUAUUCUUAAAUGAUCAAUCAAUGAUUCAAUAUAAUCACAAUCUCAAAAUCAUAAACUUUAUUUAUUUUCAAAUCUAGAGCACAUAUAGCGGGAGGAGAUUGUCUCGUGUGAUUUUUCUCUCAUGUGUAAUCCAGACCCUCCAUUAAAUAUGUGAGAUAAUGUGUUUGUAAUAUAAAAUGACCGAACGCAAGAUAAAUUGUUUUUUUCUAAACAAUAAAUUUUAUUCAUAAGCAUUCCCGUGAGCUUAGCUCAGUUGGUACGGAUAUUGCAUUUUAUAUGCAGGGGCUGAGGUUCGAACCCCAGACACCCCACUUCUCCACAAUUAAAUUGUGUGAGCUCUAACCACUAGACUACUUGACCAAGAAAAAAAGAAAUAUUCAUAAACUAACCCAACACAACACAAGAAGUGAAGAGGCUAUAGAGGAAAGACACAGGGUAACAAUACAUAAAGACAACUAAACCAAGGCUAAAAAGCCACAACACAUGUAAAUGGCUUAUCACAGCAGAAAACAAGGUAUAUCAAUAUCAUGUGUGACUACAAAACCGCCCAAACAACCCUUAAUACAAUAGAAUCACAGCAGAAAACACCCUUAGUAGAUAUUGAUAUGCCUUGCCGCGUUGAUGUUUUAGAAAUGUGCAGGUGGAGGGCAAUUACUGGGUCGGUUAUGCCCGUUUUUCCUCGAGCAGGGAUUUAAUGAGGGCUUUUGGGAUGGUUUAGGACGAGGGAAAGGUACUGGUUUGGAUGGAGUGAAAUGGGGUAAAUGCUUUAUGAUUCCUGGAGGGAGAUGUAUGGCAUCAACAGCAAAAUGUUGAGGAACAAACAUAAGAGCAGCAAGGAAUAACACUAAUAAGGAUAAGAAAAAGGAUUUAGCCAUUUUAAGAAGUGAUAUAAUUAUUAGUGUUGGUGCAUAAUACAUAGGGAGUUAAACUGGUUUUAUACUAGUUAGAGACUCAAUGUGAGUCUAUCGUCAAUCAAAGUUAAAAUUGUGCACGAAUUGAAUUAUUCAACAAUGUUACAAGUUCCAUGUAUUUGAUACUAGCUGAUGAUCAUUUAGUAUUAUUGGCUCUAUCUCUCCACUUGUUUGCGCACAUGGUUUACCUGAAAAAACAGUGUACUGGAGGUGCAACUUGUUUUAAUAGCAUUUUUUGUUGAGCACAUCAUGAGACAACACCGACAUCCUAACUAGAUUAGUAUUUCAGGACGCCUCCGUCCUAUGCCUGCCAAUCUCUAAAUUUUAUUAAAAAAGGGUAAAAAUAUAUACAAGGAGAGUGAGGACUAGGCCAAAAUCCUCAAUGAAAAAACCAAAGGAAACAAUAAAAAAUAAAGCCUACUGAAAUCUAUAAUUGGGUGAGCCAAUUCUGUCUCUAUAGAAGUCGAAAUGCAACUCUGCACGAAGCGUGUCUAACCAAACAGAACCCUGAAUAUCAUGACCCUCGGACAUUCCAAUAUAACAUCAUUGGGAAGAUGGAGGAAGACCACUCUUUCCAAGGAUUUGAUAAUGCGGCUUUCCGAAGACUUACUUCUUCAUAUUUAACGCGGCUUUUUUGAGAGAACUUGCGUAAAUCCUUUCUUUACGGCCCGUUGAUCGUAUUCUUUGAUUCUGGCCCAUAAAUCCAAGUCAUUCUGUACGUUUUUGCUAGUGUUUUAAUAACAUUAAUAUAUAGAUAUUACUAUUUAUAUAUGCAUUGAACCUGUAUGAUUUAUUUAUAAAAAUUCCAAAUAAAUUACUUUAUUUGUCAUUUAUGCUUGAACAUAAAAAUACAAAACAUUGUUUUUUCUCAUUAAAAAAUUUAAUUAAUUUAUAAAGCUUUUUAAUAAAUUAGUGUUUACCAAAUUGCACUCAUUAAUUCUUAAUUAUUGAAUGAUUGUAAACUCAUUUUAGAACCUCCAAAAAUGAAGAAAGCUCAUUCUUAGGACAACACAAAAUGGAAAACACUCAAGAUUGUUGGCAUAUUGGUAGACUAUUUCUAUCUGACAAAUUCAAUAAGCUAGUUUAUAGUUUAUAAGUCCGAAUGAUUAAAAAAUGUAUGUUUCAUAACCGUUUUUUCAUCACAAGUUUUAUAGUUUAUUUUAUUAGUUUGUAGCUUAUUUUUUAGACGUUAUUUUAAAUAACGUUUGAGAUUAUAGUUUAUCAUUUUUAUUUGUGUUUACCUUUAUUAUUCUGUUUAAGAUUUAUUUUUAUCCUUCAUAAUCUAUACUACUACCGUUUAUUCUGUUUGACAUUAUAGUUUAUUUUUAUUUGUAGUAUAUAUAAAGAAAAUAGGGGGAUGUUAGGCUAGCUUUUUUGUUACUCUAAUUAUACCCUAAAAUAAAUAAAAAGUCAAAUAAUAUUAUAUUGUUGGUGUUAUUAAAAAGAUAAGAAUUUUUGUUAUAUUAUUGUUGUCAUUGAGAAAGAUAAAUAUGGUUUAUUGAGUUUGUUACAUUUGAAAGUCACAUAUAUUUAUACUUGUAAUUUUAAUCUAUAUCAAAGAGUUUUUAUAAAAUAUAGGUUGUAAUUUACACGCAGAAUUUCUAUAAAUUAUCGUAGAUAAUCUAUACACGUUAACGUAGUAAAAAGAGAAGAAAGAUGCGCACGUGAGUGCCCGUCUUUUCACUAGUUUAUUAUAAAGAAAAUGUUAAAAUGUUCAAUUAUUUUGGUCAUACUGCACGAAUUAUUUGGUAGCCUGGCAUAUAUGUUACUAAUGUUAAUUUCACUCUCACUUUAAUUAUGUUACUCCACAGUCCUCUAAAAUCGUGUUUCUCUUUUUGCCCUAAAACUUCUCUUUUAUGUUACUCCACAAUCCUCUAAAAUCGUGUUUCUCUUUUUGCCCUAAAACUUCUCUUUUUGAUUAUUCAAUCCGAAUCAAGUUGAUCUGGUUUGGAUUAUAUAAUUUGAACUGCUUUUAUAUAUGUUGUUUCUUUAUUUUGUGGAUAUUUGUUAAUUGUUUGUACAUCUGAUUUUAACACUUUCAAAUAUUGACCGCAUGGGCUGUGUUAGGAACGAUAGAAUUUCCUUGACUGCAUCUUCUAGGUGAGAGCGUAUGUAGAAGAAUGUAGUGGAAAGGAGAGUGGUCAAGGGCAUGGGCAUGGGCCGCAAUGCUGAGACGCAGAGAGGUCGUCAGUUCCUAGACAUUAGUGGACAGUUACGGCGCAUCGAGGAACAUGUCAGAAGUAUUUAACUUUUUUAGUGAAGAUUUUUUUAAUUUAGAAUUUUUAAAGAGUGUCUCGAAAACACUCAUUAGCAAGACUGAUAAGUUGUAGUUUAUGGUGUUUUUAUCAUUUAAAUUCAAUAAUAUGUACGUUGUUUUAGUUUUAAUUUAGAUUCAUUUUACUGGAAAACAUUAGUUUUUAUUUUCAUAAUCAAAAUUAUGAAGAACAUUAUACCUAGAUUAAGAGCGAGGAAAAAGAGCCAUGAAAGAGCCAUAAAGCAGCAGCACGGAUGGUCCGUGGUUCCAUCUAGGUCGUGGAGUUCUUAAAAUGUCAAAAUUUCAAAAGUUGAAGUACAAGCACAACCGUGUGCCCCAACACGGUAGAAACAAGCAUGAUUGUGCACUUCAGAAGCACGACUUUUGCACCCCUCAAAACACAACAAAAUGUCAAAAGUUGGAAAGGUGAGCAUGACCGUGCACCCUUGAAGCACGACCGUGAGUCUUGUGCAGAGAAAAAUAGUUGUUACAACCUCUUAAAGUUCUUUGGUUCAUGGCUUGUAACUUGUUUUUAAUAUAUUUGUCUGAGGCUCUAGGCUAUAAAUAUACCUCACUUCUAAGGAAAAAAGAAUCUUAGAUACUUGUAAACUUACUCUAAAGUUGAAAGCAUAAUUUUGCAAUGUUUUAAGUUCUUUGUUCUUUAUUUUUCAUUUCUUUACAUUUGUAUUCUUUACUUUUCUGUUCUUUACAUUUUCAGUAUUUUAUCUUCAUGUCUUUAUAUUUUAAUCACAUGUCUAUUAUGAUCAUAUGUUAGUAAACAAACUAUUCUAGUCUUGGAAUUGUUAGAAUAAUCAAUCUAAUGAUUGAAUGUUAAUCAACCCAAGUCUAGACUCUAUUUUAUAAGAAUCCAUUUUAUAAUCUAAUAUCAUCGUUACUAAAUUUUAUUUUAUAAUCUAAUAUCAUUGUUAUGAAAUUUUAUAACAAGUAUCAAACAAAGAACUGAGAGUUGAUGUUUGAUAUUGUUAUUUAAUCAUGUCUAAGAUAUCAAACGAAGGACCGAGAGGUGAAAUUUGAUAUUGGAAUAAAUGAGAUUGUAAGAGAUAAGCAAAAUAUGAAAAUAAUUUUAUGACUCUUAGGACAAUAAGGUUAUAAGGUUGCACUCGAAAAGUUUCAAUGAUAAUCAACUAUGAGAAUAGGUUUAAUUACUGUUGAGAUACAUACAUUCAUGUAAUCUGAUAGGAAACUGAUAGAAUAUGUGUUACUUAGUCAUGUAAUUUGUAUUAUUAAAAGAAUAUUAAUACGUAUUCAUUGUGUUAAUUAGUCAUUCAUUUUGUAUUCAUUAGUCAUUAAGAGAAUGAUAACAAUUUGAUGUAUAUAAUGCACUCAGAUUAUCAAUGAAAAUCAUUCAGCUAUUUUCCUAUAUGGUAUCAGCUAGGUUUUAGAUCCUCUCCUACUUCUUCUAGCCGCCCACCACCACCUUUUCUUCCCUAUACUUCCGUUAUAAACCGCCAUCCAUGGCUACCUCAACAACAGCUGAAUCAACCACUCUCUCAACAAAUUCCUCUCCCGUGACAGACACAUUUGUCUCAACGGCACCAUCAUCAAAAAUUCACUCGGCCUUCACUAUCAACAACGUGAAGUCUAUCAUUCCCGUAACCUUGCACAAUGGCAGAAUGCUUUUCAUUGAUAAUCUGAGUGCAUUAUAUACAUCAAUUUGUUAUCAUUCUCUUAAUGACUAAUGAAUACAAAAUGAAUGACUAAUUAAUAUAAAUGAAUACCUAUUAAUAUUCUUUUAAUAAUACAAAUUACAUGACUAAGUAACACAUAUUCUAUCACUCCCACGCAGUUGAUGCGGGAGGUUGUCGGACGCUGAGUCUGUCCCUAAAAUCUUGAAAUAAAACCAAUGGGAGACCCUUAGUGAAGAUAUCUACAAUUUGAUAGCGUGAUGGAACAUGUAGGACACGGAUGUCUCCACGAGCUACUUUUUCACAAACAAAAUGAAUGUCCAUUUCGAUAUGUUUUGUGCGUUGGUGCUGGACGGGAUUUCGGAUAGAUAUAUGGCACUAACAUCCUUAUUAUCUAAUCCUAAACUACAAUGCACACAACAAUUGCAAAACCCUAAUCCUUGGUUUUGAGCGGGAAAAUUGUGAUUUAACCACAUUUAAUGGCAUUUUUGAAUUUCAAAUCAUGUACCCUUUUGAAAUGUGUGCAUAUGUGCCUAAUUAAUGCAGAUUUUGAAAUUCAAAUAUCCCACCACUUGGAAUUGUGCUCGCUUCUUUCCAAGACAUGCAGUUACCCACUUCUCAAUGCAAAAGCAUCUGAACCAAACAAACCUAUUUCCUUGCAUUUUGCUCUUUCUCCCUCUCUCUCACUCCCCUCUCACGCCCAUUUUUCUCUAAUCAGAAAAGGUCAACGAUUUUCAGUCCCUCUUCUCUUCUCUCUCACUCCAGUUUUCUCUCAAAAAAAAGCCUCUUCUCUUCUCCCACGUUAUUUUUUUCUUCAUUUUCUAACAUUCUUCUUCAAUUCUCCAUCUCUCUCUCUCAUUGUUUCUCGCGUAGCUCUUCGUGUCUUAGUUUGGGUGUUCUCUUCAUCGCCGGUCAGCCUCACCAAGGCAAUAAGCAUCUUCAAGUUUUAUUGAAAGAGAAUGCUUCUAUGCAACAAAAUUUUCAAGACCUUCGAUCCCUCGGUAUGCGUUUUCAGUUUCGUUACGUUUUGAUUGAUUUUGAUUUCGCGAUUAGGAUUUUGGUAUCACCGGUGUUGUUUUGAUUGAUUUUUCCGAUUUGAUAGGAAAGGAGCUUGAAGAAGGUGGAGUUCUCAGUGAAUCGGCACUGUCGCGGAAGGUUUUUCUUUUCAUCAACGAUCUUCUCUCUCAUUCUCUCUCAUUCGCUGCUCUUCUACUAAGCUUUGAUUGUGGAACGUAUGAAGGCAGAGUGACAUCUGAUAACGAUCAGAAUCAAGGCUACUAAGCUUAGAUUAUGGCUUCUAGGGGCAGAGGAAAAUGAGGAAGAAAAAGCACCAUCAAUUACAAUCUGCUCUACAUGUAUAAUGUUUUCCGUAUUCGAAUUAUUUCAAAUUGCAAGUAAUUUAAAUUGAGUUUUAAGGUAGUUUUCUUUGACUGCAAGUAUAAGGGGCUUAUUUCACAAGGUUAUACUUAGAUGUGUAUAUUCACUAUUGAAGCUUAUUUUGAGUUUCCGUGAUGACUUACUUUAUCGAAAUCACGGUGUGCCGCCGCGAUUUAGAAAAAGUUAUAGGGUGCAGCUUUUACAAUAACUAAAAAUUAACUAAUGAUUUGCCUGAAGUUUCUAAUUCUUUUUAUUGGUCCGAUUACAGUCCCUCUCUGAUGAUUUUCUACAACUAUCAGAUUUGAUUGAAUCAACUAAGGUUAAUUAUUUUGUCCAUAAUUUUUGCAAGAUAACUCUUCAGUCUACUGUUUUAGGUCAAAAUUAAUUUAUUUUGUGUAUAGAACAAUAGUUAUGCAGACCACCCAUUUCAAUAGGAUAAUGUCAAAAUUAAUUUAUGCAGACCAUCCAUUUCAAUAAUCAAUAAUGUUUUUUUGGGUUUGUUUGUAUAAUAGCAGGUUUUUUAAGAUUUGUUUUGUGUAUAAUGUGUCAUUUCACUCCACGUAGCCAAUCUUAGUGUUUGUUCAUGAAUAGAAAGUGGCUCAUAAAACAAUUUAAGGGUUCGAUUGUUCUAUAUUAUCUUUGCUCAUCUCUCUUAGUGUUUGAAAUUAGUUCAAAGAGUGGUCUAAAAAUUCUGCUAACAUAUGAGGAUGACGCUUGCAUUGAUAGUUUUUUUUUUUAAAAAAAAAAAAAAAAUCGCAUUGUAUACACAUAAAUUCCUUGAAAUAUAAUUGUAUACACAACGUACACUACAUACGAGGUCAACUUUACGUCGCAAUAUCCAAGGUGACCUCCAGGAAUGGGUUGAAGAUUUUAAUGAAUGAUGAUAAUAGUAAUAGCAUGAAUAGCACUUCAAAUGUAGUUAUAAGGAGAUUUUCUGCAAUCUACCGAUUUAAGGUCUUUUUUAAUGUAUUUUUUUUAGAAACAAUUUAUUUUGUACCGCAAGCAUAUUUAAUUUCAAUACAUUUUGUAAUAGCAUAUUUUAUUUUGUACAGCACGGGUGGAUGGUCUAGUUAUCACAAUAAACUAAACUAGCCUUGUGAAUGGGGAAAUGUAAUUCCAAAAGCAAGUUUCAUAACCAACAAGAUUCAGAAACCGCAUUGGAACCCCUCGAUAUUCUGCUUCAGCACUUGAACGAGAUAAAGUAGGUUGUCGUUUGGAAGACCAUGAGAGUAAGUUGUCACCAAGAGAUACACAGCAACCAGAGGUGGAUCGUCAGGUAUCUAGGCAACUUCCCCAAUCUGCAUUGUGUAAACAAUCAAUGAUGAUGUAGAAGAAGAGUAAAGUUGCAGUCCAUACUCGCGUGUGCCCUGAAUAUAUCUCAGGAUGCGUCAAAGGGUGUGCAUGUGAUCAUCCAUUGGAUUGUGCAUAAAUAAACAUAUUUGUUGCACUGCAUAAGAAAUGCCAGGCCUUGUGAAGGUGAGGUAUUGUAGGGCGCCAGCAAGGCUGCGAUAUAGAGAAAGGUCUUCAAAUGGGGUGCUAGUUUUGGCUCUCAUCUUUGGUUUAGUAUCAACCGUUGUAGGACAUGGUUUACAAGAAGCCAUUCCAGCACGAUCAAUAAUUUCUUCUGCAUAUUUUUUCUGAGACAAAAAUAAGCCACCAGGAUGACGUGUGACAGCAAUACCCAAAAAAUAAUUCAACAAUCCCAAAUCUUUCAUAGCAAACUCGGAACUAAGGAGUGAUAUGAUAGACUUUCAAAGGUCGUCAGAGGAAGAGGAAGCAGUAAGAAUGAUAUCAUCUACAUACAGUAUGAGGUAGGCCAAAAGGUGGGUUUUUCCUAUAUGGUAUCAGAAAAACUCUGCUUCCCGGAACUCUGGCAGAGGUGGUCGAAAUGGUACUGGUAAUUAUUGAUCUAUAACAAUAACCAUAUACGAAGACUACCUCAAAAAAAAAAAAAAAAAAAACGUACGAAGGAGAAUCAACCAUCUGGAUAAUACAUAUCCUUAUUUUAUUUAUUUGAAUUUGAAUGGCAACCACCAAAGCCACAUAUAGAAAGAAUAUUUUCCUACCAAUCGUACAUGAUGCCCAUAACAAAAGAUAGGUUCCAUAAUAUGGCCCCAUAAUAUCCUUAUCCUUAUAAUUAUGGUUCAGAAAAUAAAAAACCUCGUUAAGUUUUAGGAUUAUUUUAAGUUGAUAAAUAUUAACGAGUAUCUUCAGAGCAUUUUUCAAACAUCUAAAGUGGUAAGAUUUUAUGAAAGUUGAGCAUUUAUUAUAUUGGAAAUUGAAGUCUUUACAUUUCUUUUAAAAAUAAUUUUUUCAUUAUAAAUGCUUAAAAGGUGCUCCAUGGACAUUCAUUAACAGGACUCUUUUAAAUUUUAGAAUGUUAGCAUUUCCCUAAAACACAUGUUAAAGAUAGAGAUAUAUUAUGGCCUCUCACGGUAGCACCCGCCUACGUAGCGAGUUUAUGGUCAAUCUAAGUCAUUUACUAAAUGUCAAAAUUAUGUAUGAAUUGAAUUAUUCAACAAUGUUACAAGCUCCAUGUAUUUGCUACUAGUUGAUGAUCACUAACUAUCCUUUCAUUUUCCAUACAACUAGACCAUUUUUUUUUAGUAUUAUUUGCUCUAUCUCUCCACUUGUUUCCACAAAUAUGAUUAAUUUUUUUCGAAAAUUUUGUUUUUUUAAAUAUGAUAUUAUGGAAAACAAAAUUCGAAAAUUUGAAUAUAUAUUAAUCUUUUCCACAAUUUUUUUAAAUAUUUCCCGAUUAUUUUUAUAAUUUUUCCAGAUUUUUUUCAUUAUUUUUUAUUUUACCAGAUUUUUUUAAUCAUUAUUAAUUUUUACAUUUUUUUUUUAAAUUUUUCAGUAUUUUUUUUAAUCAUUAUUCGUUUUUUAAAUUUUUUUAUUUUUAUUUUAAAAAAAUCACAAAUGCCACGUGGCGUUCAUUUACACGCGUGGCAUGAAAAAAAUUAAACAAAAAAAAAUUGACACGUCACUGCCACGUAGUAGAUUCUGCCGACACAUUGAGGUGAGGGGUCAAUCCUGAAGAAUCUUCAUUUUUCAAGGGUGGAAUCUAAAAAAAAAAAAUUACAGGGGCUAAAACCAAAAGUGCAUUAUAUUACAAAGGCCAAAAACACUAUUAACACUAUAUUAUUACUUCUUCUUUUUUAUAAAAAUCCAAAUAAAAAUCAUUUGCAUUGCAGCCAAUUGGCCAAAUGCAACAUGACAAGCGCAAAAUUGCUCCAUGUUGACUUGUGAGAACUCUUGUUCUAGAUAGAGAACCUUAUAGUUUUUGUUGUCACAGAAAAUGUUAAACAACUUUUUCCAUGCAAUUUAUGCGUCUGAAUCGCGCUUGAUGAUGGUGAUGAGAAUAUAUUCUGAGGUGGUGUCAUAUAUCCAUUAUAAUACGACAACAUCAAAAAGCGGCCAAAGAUUGGGAUUGAUUUCUUUGAGAGAGGGAGUUGUUGGCUUAUUAGUGGGUGAGGGAGGAAUGAUGUGAUGAAAGACUUGAUGAACCCUUGCAUGAAUUUUAAAGAGUUCGAACCACGUAUUAUAUUGGACCCUUUUUUAUACUAAACGUAACCUUGAUGAAAUUGGUGAUAAUUGAAAAUGGUGGUAGAGGGAUGGAUAGGUGUGGAAGGAGUUGGGGUUGAAAUUGUCCUUCGAGUGGUAGUAUUUUUGGGGAUGAUUCGGCCCUGAUGGUGAAUGAAGGAGAAGAGGAACGAUGGCGCUGUAUUAGGUUUACGAGAGAAGGAUGAGUACCAACAACUUACUGAUACCAUGUAAGAAUUAUAAUAAGAUAAUUAUUAGUCGUGUGUCAUUUGCAUUGAGAGGAUCCGUUGACACUAGGUGUCAAACUUUAGUUUGACAUCAAAUCUCAACCGUCUAUUAUGUCUAAUCUAAUGGUCUGUGAUUAUUUAUUAAAUUAACUUGUGUGAUCUUUUUCCCAUGUCUCACCUGAUCCCACGCCGGCUGUUCUGCUCCAUCUCCUUCAACUUAUCAAAGUUAAUAUGGCCAACAAUCAAAUACACACACAAAUUAAUUCUUUUUUUUUUUUAAAGAAGAAGAAGCUAAAUUAGCCCACACAAAUUGGCACCGGAGAGAAUCGAUCCUGAGACCUCGAGGAGGAGCACACUCCCAGAUCCCAAGUCAAUACCACCAGACCAACCCAAAUGAUAAAUAAGGAGUUAAUUCUAAAUAAGGAGUUAUACAUAUAAUUACAUAUUGUUGACAUUAAUUGUUCUCUGUGGGGCAAGAUACUUGAGGUGUAAGUUUCAUAAGAUGCAAGUUCUUUUAAGUCUAAAUUGUCUUAUACUUACAUUAUUUUAGGUCUAAAUUUCAGAAACCAUUAUCACAAAUUUUUUGACAAUCUUAUCUCACAUACUCGUACUAUAUUUUUACUUCUCUUUUUGUUGUUUUGGUUUUUGUUUUCAUACCUAAUUUUCCUUGUAAAUCUAUAGUUGUCUCAUAAAUUAUCGUUAAAAUUGUUGUUCAAAUAACACAACUCCUAUUUCUAAUACUCAAAAUUUGUUCAAAUUAAGUUUUUAAAGAACUUCUAAUAAAAUCAGAUUAAGUUUUUUUGAACUUUCUAAAUACUUAAAUUGAAUUUUCUCGAAUAUACAUCUUGGAGAAAGAAAAAAAAUAAUUAUAGGAGGGAGAUGCAAAACUUACGUUUUCUUUCACUAGAAACAUAUUUUGAGUUUUCAAUAUCAUCAAAAUCAUAAACUUUAUUUAUUUGCAAAUCUAGAGCACAUAUAGCACGAUUUUCUCUCAUAAUUUACAUUGAUAUAACACAUAUUAUGUUCUUACCUUGCCCAAACAUUCGGGAUUUAAUUGAUAAUGUAAAAGAUGUUUUCAAAUGUAGAAUAAGAAAGAUGGAAAACCUCCAAGCCAAAUUAUACACAAGAAUAUAAAACAAAGCAUUUACUUGGUAGAUAAUAUUUUCUUUUUAAACAGCAAAUUUUAUUCAUAAUAAGAUAACCUAACACAAGAAGUGAAGAGGCUAUAGGGGAAAGACACAAGGUAACAAUACAUAAAGACAACUAAACCAAUGCUAAAAAUCCACAUCACAAAACCACCCAAACAACCCUUAAUACAAUAUAAUCACAGCAGAAAAACCUUAACCAAAUCAAGCAAACACACCCAGACCUUCCCCUAACACAAAAUCAAACCAGUUUCCAUCAACACCACAUCAAUAGACCCCUUAAAUAAUUGAACAAAAACCAGCCACCUAAACUUCCUGGUACCAGUAAAUUACAAUUACUUAGUAGAUAUUGAUAUGUCUUGUUGCAUUGAUGUUUCAGAAAUGUGUGGCUGGAGGGCAAUCUUUGGGUCGUAACUUCCACAAUAUCUUCGAGCAGCGAUUGAUUUUGGGAGUUUUGAAUUUUGGGAAGGCAGCAUCAACAGCAAAAUGUUGAGGAGCAAGCAUAAAAGCAGCAAGGAAUAACACUAAUAAGGAUAAGAAAAAGGAAUUAGCCAUUUUAAGAAGUGAUAUUAUUAUUGUGUUGGUGCAUAAUACAUAUGGAGUUAACUGGCUUUAUACUAGUUAGAGACUCAAUGUGAGUUUAUGGUCAAUCUAAGUCAUUGUGUAUGAAUUCAAUCAUUCAACACGUAGGUUCCAUGCAUUUGGAAAACUAGUUGAUGAUUAAAAAUGUUCAAUAUAUUAGGCUAUGAAUUGUUUAUGAAUUGAAUUGUUGAUGAUUAAAACAGUGUACUGGAGGUGGAACAUGUUUUAAUAACAUUAAUAUGUAGAUAUUAUUAUUUAUGCAUUGAACCCUGUAUUGAUAAAAAUUCCACAUAGGUUACUUUAUUUGUCAUUUAUGCUUGAAUAUAAAAAUACAAAACAGUGUUUUUUCUUAUUAAAUUUUUUAAUUAAAUUAUAAAGAUUUUUAAUAACUUAGUGUUUACCAAUUGCACUCAUUAAUUCUUAAUUAUAGAAUGAUUAUCGUAAACUCAUUUUAGAUCCUCCAAAAAUGAAGAAAGCUCAUUCUUAGGACAACACAAAAGAGAAGAAACGCAAGAUUGUUGGCAUAUUGGUAGACUAUUUCUGUUUGACAAAUUCAAUAAGCUAGUUUAUAGUUUAUAAGUCCGAAUGAUUAAAAAAUGUAUGUUUCAUAACUGUUUUUUCAUCACUAGUUUUAUAGUUUAUUUUAUUAGUUUGUAGUUUAUUUUUUAGACGUUAUUCGAGAUUAUACUUUAUCAUUUUUAUUUGUGUUUACCUUUAUUAUUUUGAAUAAUUUUUAGGAUAAUUUCUAGUGUUGAUCUAAGUUGUUUUUCAUUGAAAAUCAAUCUAAUUCAUUGAAUUAGGAUUCAUAUAAUUUGCUUAGGUCAAUUGAUUGCAAAAUCAAUUCAAUUCUUCAAUUACACAUGUAUUGUGUUUUUUAUUUGAUAACUUAGUAAUUUUGUUCAGAUAGGUUUGGUUUGAAAUUGUCUAUUGUUUUGUACAUUGUUCAAAGAAUAUUAAAGUUUGAUUGUAUAAUAAGAUUUGUAUCGUGAAUCUCUCAAUUCUAAGAUUAAAUCUCAUUGCACAUAUAUUUGUCUUUUUCAUUCCUUGAUUGUCAUUGUUCGACCACGAAUCCCAUAGUCAAUUUUGUUGAGAGAGAGAGAGAGAGAGAGAGAGAGAGAGAGAUUGGAUGGACGAGUAAUAUUAGUGCAGAACACAUAGCAAAAGAGAAUCGAAAAAAGAGGAUCCCGAUCCUUUUCUAAAGGACAAUCAACCAUCUAUAUAACGACAAAUUUAAACCCAUCAUGUACAAAAAUAACGAUCAAGGUGAAAAUAUAAACGUAACAUUGAACUAUGUUAUUAAAUUAUAAUAAACUUCAAAGGGUAAAAUUGGUUUUUAGAUAAACAUAUAAGCCAAAUAAGGUUACAAGUUGUUUUUUUUUUUUUUUUGAAAGAAGGGUUACAAGUUAUAAGCUUGUGAAGAAAAGACGGUUAUCAAACACAACCUAUACAGCUCAUGAAGCUACCAUAAAAAAUUUAAUAGUGGGGAUGUUUAAUGAAGAUUGGUAGUACUGUAGUAGUGUUACGUUGAUCAUGGAGCUAUAGUUAUAAAUAAUUUUAAAGUGGGUUAUGUUUAUUGAAGAUAGGGAGAUCGAAGCGGAAAUGCUGGAAAAUGAUGAUGGAAAAAUAUAAAUCGGCGAUUUAUAUUUUAGUCCUUGUGAAAGUUAGAAUUUAAGUUUGAAGGGGUGCACGGGUAUUCAAGGAUCCGAAGAUUUUAAGAAGCACCAAAUUUAAGGUUUACUUGGAGUUUGAGGGAGUGUUUUACAUAGGAGUUGAAGAAUUAGGUUUUAAUUUCAAGGAACUCUUGUAAACAGAUUGUAUUCAACAUUUGUUAGACCAAGUACAAUGGCUUGUUGAAAGUGCCAUUCAACAUGUUGAAUCAUUGUAGUGGGGGGUGUUGAAAUUGAAAAAAAAAAAACUUAGUUGGAGGAAAGAGAUGAUGAACAAGUUUAACUAGCUGAAAGCCUGGCCCUCACAGACACGUGGCGCGACCCGAUUGCAUGAAACAGGCGAGUGCGAUGCACGCGACGACAGGGCGCAUGAGAGAUUGGAAGCGCAGAGAGAGAAAGAGAAAUGGAUAAAUGUUGUGACACUUGGCAUGUUUUGAUUGGCUGCUUGGAUUUUUAUCUUCUUAAUAAUUUGGACUCAAUUAUUUCAUUGUAAAUAAUUUUUUUUUACCAAAAUUCGUGAUUUUUUUUUCUCUAUAAAUAGAGACUUGGAUCAUUUGAUUUGGACACAGAAAAAAAAAAUCAAGUUUUUUCACUCUCUUAAUCUUAUUACUAGCUUUUCUUUAAAAGUUUAAGUCUGAAAUUGAUCCCAAUAACAAUCAAUUCAAUACCCAAAGUUCUUCAGAUUACCCAUCUAGCUACCAAAAUCCAAAUUAUUAUCAACACCCAAAUCAAUUUCUCAACCAACAUCCUUAAAACCCAAAUCAAUUCCCCAACCAACAUCCUCAAAACAUGCCUAAUUUUGGUUUUGCCUCAAAUUUCAAUCACUCAUCCUCUGUUCUAAACAACUUUUAUCCAUAUUAUAGAUCUAUGAUGGGAUAUCCAUCUCAAACACCCCAUUUAAUGGUUAUAUGCCAAUGGUGAAUGAAAAUUUUCAGAGUGUUAGUGAAUAUCCUGAAUUUUCAUCACAAAUAAAUAGUGGUGGAAUGACAAGAGCUAAUGAAGUCACUCCAAUUUCAGAGGAUACAACUCCUAAGAGCAAGAAAAACCAGCAACCAGGAACACUGAACAAAAUUUGGUGUUAAUUAGUGGGUGAAUAAAAUAUGGAACAUGCAUUGUUGUCGGGAGAAACCAGACAAGUGAAGCAUAUUGGGUUAAAAUUGUUGAGUAUUGUAAUGAGCAUCGCUCAUUCGAUUCUCCGCGCGACUCAGUUGCAUGCCGAAACCGUUUUAAUUAUAUGAGCAAAUUAAUAAAUAAAUGGGUUGGUGCUUAUGAUGGUGCUAAGCGUUUGCAAGGAAGCGGUUGGUCGAAAGAUGAUGUUUUGGAAAAAGCCCAUGAAUUAUAUGUGAAACACCCCGUUUUCCCAACUUGAAAUUUUUUGCAUAAAUCAGAGUAAAACAGCUAAACAGGAUGCUGCACUUCUUUCAAAUCUGAAUAUAGUAAAAUUACUAAUUAUCUCAAUCAUCAAAUUAAAUCUUAUUGCAGCGGAAAUUAGUUCAACGUUUAAAACAACCUUGGCACAAAGGCCUCAAUGUAAAAUCUCAUAAAAUUAUUCCAACAACAUGUUCAUAAAACUUCAUAAAAUAAUACGUAAGGAACGUAAAGCAACAACAAAAUUCUCAUCCCGUUACGUAUCAGAGCACCUAAGACACACGUGAGAGAAUCCACUCACGACCGCAACUAUUCUUGGUUACCUGCAAGUUACUCAAUUGUGAGGGCAACAUUUCCAAGCAGAAGGGGUGAGAUUUCACAUUCAAUAAUAAUAAGCAUAUAAUUCAUCAAAUUCAUUUAACAACUUAAACUUCAUCAAUUAGUAACACUAACUCUUCGCAUAAAUACUUCAUUAAUUAAUAACAUUAACUCUUCCUAUAAGACUUCAUUAAUAACUCAAUCAACUUCUAAUCAUCAUUAACUUCAUAUUCAUCACAUUAUAUACAACGUCAUACAACACGUAAUAAUCAAAUCAUAAACAUCAUCAUAUAAAAACCUAAUCAUCACAUCAUAAACAUCAUCUUAUAACAUCAUAUAGUUCACAUCAUAAACAUCAUCAUAUAACAACAUAAACAUCACAACAUAAACAUGAAAUAAGGUUAUAAGGUUGCACUCAAAAAGUUUUAGUGAUAGUCAACUAUGAGAAUAGGUCUAAUUACUGUUGAGAUACAUUCAUGUAAUCUUAUAGGAAACAUGAAAUACCAAAGAACAUCUUGUCCUUAGAAAUGAAUAGAGAAAUAGAUAUGGAAUGUUUAGGAUUUAACUUUAUGAUGAAAACCGCAAUCUCAUGACGCAUUUUUAUAUCUAAAUUUUAAUCAAAAAAAUAAUUGCACUUAAUCAAUUUAUUUUUUUCAGCUAAUCAAAACUAAAAAUUAGAUUAGUAUUUACUUAAAGUCCAUGUGAAUCGAUAUUUUACUAGAACCGUACACUUGCGUAAACCUAUCAAAGACCCUAUUGAUGUAUAUGGAAUCGUAGUUACCUAUCAAAGCUACAAAAAAAAUUAGAUCGGAAUUGGGGUCUUUCUGACCAUUCUUGAAGUCGAAGGGGGUUCGUUUACUGGAUGUAGCAUCGAAGGCUUGAGUGAAGAGUUCGAAGGGGUGCACGGGUAUUCAAGGAUCUGAAGAUUCAAGAAGCACCAAAUUUAAGGGUUACUUGGAGUUUGGGGGAGUGUUUUACAUAGGAGUUGAAGAAUUAGGUUUUAAUUUCAAGGAACUUUUGUAAACACAUUUGUAUUCAACUAUUAUAAAAAUAUCGGUGUUAUCUCUCUUUCCCUAUCCUCUUUACUUUUAGCUAUUGCAUGUGAUUAAUUGAAUAAUUUUUAGAAUAAUUGCUAGUGUUGAUCUAAGUUAUUUUUCAUUGAAAAUCAAUCUAAUUCAUUGAAUUAGGUUUCAUAUAAUUUGCUUAGAUCAAUUGAUUGAAAAAUCUAUUCAAUUCUUCAAUUACACAUGUAUUGUGUUUUUGAUUUGAUAACUUAGUAAUUUUGUUCAUGUAGGUUUUUGGUUUGAAAUUGUCUAUUGUUUUGUACAUUGUUCAAGGAAUAUUAAAGUUUGAUUGUAUAAUAAGAUUUGUAUCGUGAAUCUCUCAAUUCUAAGAUUAAGUCUCAUUGCACAUAUAUUUGACCUUUUGAUUCCUUGAUUGUCAUUGUUCGACCACGAAUCCAAUAGUCAAUUUUGUUGAGAGAGAGAGAGAGAGAGAGAGAUUGGAUGGACGGGUGAUAUUAGUGCAGAACACAGCAAAAGAGAAUCGAAAAAAGAGGAUCUUGAUCCUUUUCUAAAGGAGAAUCAACCAUCUAUAUAAUGACAAUUUUAAACCCAUCAAGUACAAAAAUAACGAGCAAGGUGAAAAUAUAAACGUAACAUUGAACUAUUUUAUUAAAUGAUAAUAAACUUCAAAGGGUAAAAUUGGUUUUUAGAUAAACAUAUAAGGGGUUACUAAAAAGGGUUACAAGUUUUUUUUUUUUUUUGAAAGAAGGGAUACAAAUUAUAAGCUUGCGAAGAAAAGACGGUUAUCAAACACAGCCUAUGCAGCUCAUGAAGCUGCCAUAAAAAUUUUAAUAGUGGGGGAUAUUUAAUGAAGAUUAGUAGUAGUGUUACGUUAUUCAUGGAGCUAUAGUUAUAAAUAAUUUUAAAGUGGGUAAUGUUUAUUGAAGAUAGGGAGAUCGAAGCGGAAAUGCUGAAAAAUGAUGAUGGAAAAAUAUAAAUCGAUAUUAUCUUUUAUUUUAGUCAGAAUUUAAAUUUGGUAUUUUUCAGUAUCCAUGUCGGCGAUUUUGACUAAUUUUGAUUAAGUAAACGUCUUAGUUGACUUCAAUGACUAAAGUAACUAAGAACAAAGAGUGAAUGAUUUAAUUCGGGUUUUAUCUAAGUCAUUGACCAAAAUUACAUCUUGUUACACUUUUAAGGAGAAAAAUGGUUGUUUUCCCAAUAAUGUUUUCCAAUAUUAAAUUAAUGUUGUUUUCUGCCUUAGGGAUGUUACCAAUUUGUUAUGUUGGAGUUACCUUUAGUGCUAAGAAACCUUUAGACCAAUAAAAAUAUUUUGAGUCCCUUUUAAAGUGGUAAAUACACUAAUAUAAAGUCAUUGUCAAUUGAUGUUAGGACUAUUUAUUAAGAAUGCAAUAUUUACUUGUUGUUCUUUGGUAGACACUUAGAGUUCAUUUUUGUGGACUGUAUGAACUUGGUUAUAUCAUAGUUAACGUCGUAUUAGACAAACGGAAAUGAAAGACUCAUCUCUCACUCUACUUAGGACUAGCCAAUUGUCAAACUUGGUUACAAUUUAUUUUGUUUGGAAAACUUAAUUUGAAUUUUCUACAAGUCAUGAAAAAUUCAAAUUUCUGUUUUCUGAUUAGAAGAUCAAUAAACGGUUCAAUAUCAUCACAAUCUCCAAAUCAUAACUUCAUUCAUUUGCAAAUCUAGAGCACAUAUAUCACGAUUUUCUAUCAUGAUUUGCAUUGAUAUAAGUAAGUAUAACACAUAUAUUUUACUCUUAACUUAGCCAUACAUUGCGGAUUUACUUAGUAGAUAGAGUAAUGUUUUUUUUUAAACAACAAAUUUUAUUCAUAAGCUAACCCAACACAAGAAGUGAAGAGGCUAGAGGAAACACACAAGACAACAGAUACAUAAAGACAACUAAACCACCCAAACAAUCCUUAAUACAAUAGAAUAACAUCAGAAAAACCAGCCACCUAAACUUCCUAGUACCAUGAAACAAUGUCAGGUCGCGUUGAUUUUUAGGCUGGAGGGCAAUGUUUGUUUCGGAAGUUCUCGACUUUCUUCAACAAAGGGUAGUGCUUUUUGCAGAAAUCGGGUAUAUGGGGUAUAUGUACUGGUUUAUCUUUUGGGAUUAAAUUUUUGAUUUUUGGGAUUAAUGCUUCAACUGCGGGACCAAAGCUAACAGCAUCAGCAAAAUGUUGUUGAGGAGCAAGCAUAAAAGCAGCAAGGAAUAACACUAAUAAGGAUAAGAAAAAUGAAUUAGCCAUUUUAAGAAGUGAUAUAAUUAUUAGUGUUGGUGCAUAAUACAUAUGGAGUAUACUGGUUUUAUACUAGUUAGAGACUCAAUGUGAGUUUAUGGUCAAUCUAAGUCAUGUACUAAAUGUCAAAAUUGUGUAUGAAUUGAAUUAUUCAACAAUGUUACAUGUUCCUUCCAUGUAUUUGCUACUAGUUGAUGAUCAGUCCCUACCUAUCCUUUAAUUUUCCACACAACAAGACCAUUCAGUAAUAUUGGCUCUAUCUCUCCACUUGUUUGCCCACCAUGGUUUAGCUGAAAAAACAGUGCAACUUGUUUCAAUAACAUUAAUAUAUAUAGAUAUUACUAUUUAUAUAUGCAUUGAACCCUGUAUGAUUUAUUUAUUUAUAAAAAUUCCAAAUAGGUUACUUUAUUUGUCAUUUAUGCUUGAAUAUGAAAAUACAAAACAGUGUUUUUUCUCAUUAAAAUUUUUACUAUAAAGAUUUUUAAUAACUUAGUGUUUACCAAUUGCACUUACUAAUUCUUAAUUAUAGAAUGAUGAUUAAAAAUUGUAUGUUUCAUAACUGUUUUUCAUCACAAGUUUAUAGUUCAUUUCUCAGACGUUAUUCCAAAUAACGUUUGAGAUUAUAGGUUAUCAUUUUAAUUUCAUGUUUACCUUUAUUAUUUUGUUUAAGAUUUAUUUUUAUCCUUUUUAAUAUAUACUAUUUAUAAAGAAAAUAUAGGGAUUUUGGGCUGACUUUUUUGUUAUUCCAAUUAUACCUUUAAAUAAAAAAAAAUCAAAUAAUGUGAUAUGGUUGGUGUUAAAUAAGAAUUUUUGUUAUAUUAUUGUUGUCAUUGAGAAUCAUAAAUAUUGUUUGUUGAGUUUGUUACAUUUGAAAGUCACAUAUCAUACUUUUAAUUUUUGUCCAUAUCAAAAAAUUUAUAUAAAAUAUCGUUUGUAAUUUACACGCAGAAUUUCAAUAAAUUAUCGUAAAUAAUUUAUACACAUUAACGUAAUAAAAAGAGCAGAAAGAUGAACAUGUGAAUGCUCGUCUUUAGUAAGUAAGAUUGUCUUAUAUACUUACAUUAUUUUAGGUCUAAAUUUCAGAAACCAUUAUUUGACAAUAUUUUUGACAAUUUUAUCUCACAUACUCACAUUAUAUUUUUACUUCUCUUUUUGUUGUUUUGGUUUUUAUUUUCAUACCUAAUUUUCCUUGUAAAUCUAUAGUUGUCUCAUAAAUUAUCGUUAAAAUUGUUGUUCAAAUAACACAACUCUUAUUUCUAAUACUCAAAAUUUGUUCAAAUUAAGUUUUUAAAGAACUUCUAAUAAAGUCAGAUUAAGGUUUUUUUGAACUUUUUAAAUACUUAAAUUGAAUUUUCUCCAAUAUACAUAUUAGAGAAAGAAAAAAAAUAAUGAUAGGAGGGAGAUGCAAAACUUAUGUUUUCUUUCUCUAGAAACAUAUUUUGAGUUUUCAAUAUCAUCAAAAUCUCAAAAUCAUAAACUUUAUUUAUUUGCAAAUCUAGAGCACAUAUAGCGCGAUUUUCUUUCAUAAUUUACAUUGAUAUAACACAUAUUAUGUUCUUACCUUGCCCAAACAUUCGGGAUUUAAUUGAUGAUGUAAAAGACGUUUUUAAAUGUAGAAUAAGAAAGAUGGAAAACCUCCAAGCCAAAUUAUACACAAGAUAUACAAAUUAUACACAAAAAUUUCAAAUUUCAAUUUUCUCGAGAGUAUUCUUAAAUGAUCAAUCAAUGAUUCAAUAUAAUCACAAUCUCAAAAUCAUAAACUUUAUUUAUUUUCAAAUCUAGAGCACAUAUAGCGGGAGGAGAUUGUCUCGUGUGAUUUUUCUCUCAUGUGUAAUCCAGACCCUCCAUUAAAUAUGUGAGAUAAUGUGUUUGUAAUAUAAAAUGACCGAACGCAAGAUAAAUUGUUUUUUUCUAAACAAUAAAUUUUAUUCAUAAGCAUUCCCGUGAGCUUAGCUCAGUUGGUACGGAUAUUGCAUUUUAUAUGCAGUGGCUGAG
rnacentral:lncRNA from 1 species